GUCCAUGCUGUCAAAGAUGAGUGCUAACACUUGGAGUUUUCCUGGUGUAAAGUAAACACGUUAAGCACUCCGCCUGGGGAGUACGAUCGCAAGAUUGGAACUCAAAGGAAUUGACGGGGGUCUACACAAGUGGUGGAGCAUGUGGUUUAAUGCGAUAAUACACGCGGAAUCUUACCAGUUCUUGAAUAUGGUUUUAAUAAUAUUAACACUAUUAUUUUUUAAUAAAGUUUAAUACUUUUAUAAUAUAACUAUACAGGUGUUGCAUGGCUGUCGU
rnacentral:rRNA from 1 species